UGGGAUUCAGGUCUGGACUCUGGCUGGGCCAUUCCAAAGUCUCAAUCUUGUUCCGGUGAAGCCAUUCUUUUGUUGAUUUAGAUGUGUGCUUUGGGUCAUUGUGGUGCUGAAAGAUGAAGUUCCUCUUCAUCUUCAUCUUUCUAGCAGAAGGCCCAAGGUUUUGUGUCAACACUGACUGGUAUUUGGAACUGUUCAUAAUUCCCUCCACCCUGACUAAGGCACCAGUUCCAGCUGAAGAAAAACAGCCCCAAAGCAUGAUGCUGCCACCACCAUGCUUCACUGUAGGUAUGGUGUUCUUUUGGUGAUGAGCAGUGUUGAUUUUGCGCCAAAUAUACCUUUUGCAAUGAUGCCUUAAAAGUUCAACUUUGGUUUCAUCAGACCAUAACACAUUUUCCCACAUGCGUUUGGGAGAUUUCAGAUGUCUUUUUGCAAAAUUAAGCCGGGCUUUGAUGUUUUUCUUUGUAAGAUAAGGCUUCCGUCUUGCCACCCUACCCCACAGCCCA